ACUCCUACGGGAGGCAGCAGUGGGAAGUAUUGGACAAUGGGCGAAAGCCUGAUCCAGCCAUGCCGCGUGUGUGAAGAAGGUCUUCGGAUUGUAAAGCACUUUAAGUUGGGAGGAAGGGCAGUAAGUUAAUACCUUGCUGUUUUGACGUUACCGACAGAAUAAGCACCGGCUAACUCUGUGCCAGCAGCCGCGGUAAUACAGAGGGUGCAAGCGUUAAUCGGAAUUACUGGGCGUAAAGCGCGCGUAGGUGGUUUGUUAAGUUGGAUGUGAAAGCCCCCGGGCUCAACCUGGGAACUGCAUCCAAAACUGGCAAGCUAGAGUACGGUAGAGGGUGGUGGAAUUUCCUGUGUAGCGGUGAAAUGCGUAGAUAUAGGAAGGAACACCAGUGGCGAAGGCGACCACCUGGACUGAUACUGACACUGAGGUGCGAAAGCGUGGGAGCAAACAGGAUUAGAUACCCCUGGUAGGAUAGCG
rnacentral:rRNA from 1 species